CCCAAAUUGUGAUACACCUUCAGCUUUGGGUUUACCCCACCCUUUGUUAUCAAGACCAUCUCUUGGACAGAUUUCUAGACCACGCAAAACAUGGGAGCACAGACGUGCUCUUAAGGAUGGCGGGGAUGUAUACGUUCAGAGCCAUACGUGUGAGCGCAGCGUAUACAUCCUCCCGCCAGGAACUGAGCAAGAGGCCAGGCCCAGCAGAACCAGCCUGUGGAAAUCAGGAUAUUUACAGUACUCAGACAUGUGAUGAAGGCUGCAGCAAGGCACUGCCUCGAAGUUAGGACAAUUGAGCUGCAGAGCGCACCGUGGAAGAACAGGGAAGAGAUGCGGACUCCAUCACCACCUUUUUGGCAGUGCAGCGGGUGACAAGAAAGAUCUCUAAUUUCCCCUCACCUCUCCCAGCAGCCAGAGAAAAGUGUGAUCAGAUGGUCGUCUACCACAACAGCGACGUUGCUGGACACCCAGCAAAGAAACGAUGAAGGUUUAAACUUCUCCCCUGGCUAAACUUCUACGCGGAGAGGUUAAGGACUGGAA